rnacentral:lncRNA from 1 species
AGCAAUUUUAGAUGCAGAAUCGCACCGUCAACUAAAGAUCAUCAGUGCAUCACACGUCGAAGCGAAAUAAAUGUAGUGGUUGUACAUGAUGUUUUCCUCUUUCCUUUCAGUCCCAGAAUGUGUCUAUGGAGUUGAUUAGUGGUUCACUGAGUCAGAUCUUACCCAGCGUCCCUCAGAGAAGCCUCCAGAAGAUCAAACCUGUAGAGAUUUCCCAUAGACUCCACACACAGCUCUCAGACACUGACAAAGAUGGCAACAGUGAAAGUGAGAAGUUACAGAGACUCUAUCUGCAGAAGCAACAACAACAUGGAAGUUCAAGGCAUCAGCUGGCCACACUUCUGAAAGAGCUGGAGCUUCUUGAAACACCACUGGCAGCGCAAGGACAGCACAAGGCCAAGCAUCAGACGCAGGAAGCCCACAGAGCGGCCAUCAGCUGGUGGAGAGGUCAGACUAAAGAGGGCAAGAAGAACCAGGCUUCCCAAGUUCCACAAGAAACUGUGACGGACAUUCAAAGCCUGGACGUCAAUCACACCAGGCCAGCCCAGCUGGAAGAGGCUAAGUGUGGCAUGAAGGUGCUUCUCAAAGACCAGGGAACAAGCACCUGUGACGACGCUCAGAUUCAGUUCAGGGAUGUGGCUGUGGUCACUGAUUCAUCGGCAGAGCGUUUGGCUGCAGAAGAGCUGCUGAAGUCUCUGAGGAAAGUGGAGGACGUGGUUUCGCAGGCCUUGCGGGCAGCUCAGGUGCUCACGGGCAGCGAGAAGAGGAUAAAGGAGAGGAUAGAGGCCAUCAGCAUGAGGGUGGAGAGAGCACUGAGCAGAGCUGAAGCUACUGAGAGUCAGCUCCGUGCCCUGGAGGCCACCAUCUCUUCUAACACACAGUCGUUCUGUAUGUCUCAAUCUAUGGCCAGUGGGCUCCUGGUGGAUUGUAGCUUUUCCACACCCGAACCUGUCGCUCAGGAGAGCAUCCUCACUCCACUUUCAUCUGAAAAUGGUGGCUCGCUUCUGCACACGCGAGCAGAGGAACCCAGCAACAAGGUAAAUAACUGCUUACAUGUUUUUCCCAUUAAUUUUGACCUUGGUGUUUUACGAUGA